rnacentral:rRNA from 1 species
CGCGGCCUAUCAGCUUGUUGGUGAGGUAACGGCUCACCAAGGCGUCGACGGGUAGCCGGCCUGAGAGGGUGACCGGCCACACUGGGACUGAGACACGGCCCAGACUCCUACGGGAGGCAGCAGUGGGGAAUAUUGCACAAUGGGCGCAAGCCUGAUGCAGCAACGCCGCGUGAGGGACGACGGCCUUCGGGUUGUAAACCUCUUUUAGCAGGGAAGAAGCGAAAGUGACGGUACCUGCAGAAAAAGCGCCGGCUAACUACGUGCCAGCAGCCGCGGUAAUACGUAGGGCGCAAGCGUUAUCCGGAAUUAUUGGGCGUAAAGAGCUCGUAGGCGGUUUGUCGCGUCUGCUGUGAAAACCCGAGGCUCAACCUCGGGCCUGCAGUGGGUACGGGCAGACUAGAGUGCGGUAGGGGAGAUUGGAAUUCCUGGUGUAGCGGUGGAAUGCGCAGAUAUCAGGAGGAACACCGAUGGCGAAGGCAGAUCUCUGGGCCGUAACUGACGCUGAGGAGCGAAAGGGUGGGGAGCAAACAGGCUUAGAUACCCUGGUAGUCCACCCCGUAAACGUUGGGAACUAGUUGUGGGGACCAUUCCACGGUUUCCGUGACGCAGCUAACGCAUUAAGUUCCCCGCCUGGGGAGUACGG